CCAAAAACGUGUCACAAUGUUAAAGUCAGAUACUACACUUGUAGCGGAAACUGAAAAAAAAGCCCUCCACCAAACCAAAAACCUGAAGAAGGGAAAAGCACUUGAACGUUUGGUUUCUGUAAUGGAAAUUUGUAGUGCAUUAUGUUUUUGACACGGAGCAUGAGUCUCUUUGCCAUGUUUCUGAACAAGAAAACCGAUCAAGUUAUUGAUUGGACCCAGGCUCCCCCUUUUAACAUGCAAAGUUUUACAGAGAACGAUGAUCUUCCAUGUUCUGAGUUUUGGGAAGUUAGCAAAGUAAUCAACCCUUUUUUCCUUCUGUUUGUUUUGCUAUAAAAAAUUUGUACUUUAUGGGUUUUGCUAAGGUUUGAAAAAGGAAGCAAGUUAUCUUCGUGAGAGGGAAGCAAGAUAGAAAGAUGUUGUUUUGAGUCUGGUUACCGGGAAAGAUCAUCUACGGCUGAAGAUGAUGCCCACAAUACGGAGAUCAUCCUGGCCAUUAAUCACGCUCUGAUCAUGCGGUCAUGAUUCAUCCACUACACUUAUGUUUUUGUCUCCUUAGAAUCCAAGAACACAACAAACAGUAUGAAACGGAUUUGAUAUUUUGUGUGGAGGUCACUGUACAAGCCCUGAUUCACACCGUGCGAGGCAACAUCUGCUCCUCCUUUCAAUGUGUUGGACUUGAGCAUUGCUAUUAAUUCUCAGUAUUCCUCUACAGGUUGUUUUGUAUGUUAUAGCCAUGGUAGUUUUUGAUCAUCAAAAUGGUGAGGCUUGUAAAGAUGGAACAGAUAAUUUGCUUAUAUAUAGCGCCUAUUUUCAAAGGUGAGUUAUUAUUCAUGUGUUGUUUUUGCAUUGAAAUUCAAUUGUGCUAAAUUGGGAUACUUUAUUACUAGUAUUUAAAGAUAGGGGGCCAAGUGAGUGGGUAUCAGACUCAAGUCCCAAAUCGUCUACAUCAUAAAAGAAACUAUACUGCUUACGUAUAAAAUGAAAGGACCUCUACAAAUGAUAGAUACGGAGCCGUGUGAUGAUGACAUAGCGAACUAUUCUUUCGCCUUUUACUAAAGAAUACCGUGUCAGCGUCACAAUUAGCGGCAUACGCUAGUUUUUGGAAGAGUCCUCUUCAUUGAGGGCUCUGCAACAUUAGUUCAAGUUUGUGCCUGAGCCUUCUUCAUUGAAGGCUCUGCAAAAUUGGGUAAGGUUUGGUCUGUGUUUGGUUCAUUGUUGUACUUUGGCUAUUUGCCACUAAUUAGAAUUAGAUUGUGGACUGAUAUACAAAUGUGUGGUUAAGUUGUUUAUCUUCAAAAGCCGUAAGUUAAGUGGGUUCAACUUUAUAACCCAAGAAUGAUUCACACCUUGUGAGGCCACCUUUUAAUAUGUUAGACUUUGAGCAUUGGUGUUAAUCCUUAAUAUUCCUCUACAGUUUGUUUCUGAGCUAUCUACUUCAACAUAAUUACUUCCAGUACUAAUAGCUUUUAUUCUUACAGCCCACAAUAUUAUGAUGUAUGUAUGACUAAAUUUUAAAUUUUAUAGGGGAGUGUACACCACAAGGAAUUCAAUAAAGUAUCAAAUUGCUGUAGUAUCCUCUCAAAUUUAAGACAGGUUUAGAUGUCUACAUUUUGUUGAGCAAGGAGAUAUGCUCCUAUUUUGUAGUCUUUUCCCUCGUCUAAAUACUGUAUUGAAUGAUAAAUUGCAACAUAACCAAACUCACACCAUCUAAUACCCCAUAUGAAUCCCCUUGUCAUUUUGUGGCUGGACUAGAAGGAAGUAAAUAUCAACAACUUUGGUGACUGGCGUAUUUUACUACUGUAAUGUUAUUUUCUUGUCUUAGUUUUUGAACCAGUUAGAUCUCUUUUUCUCAACUUUAUUCUUUGCGGUUGUCUUAGUUGUUAGAUUUGUUUAUGGACAAGAAUGAUGGGUGAGGACUUCAUGGUAAAAUUUCCUAGUCCCACACUGCUAAUGAGAGAAAUUAGAUGACUUUGAAGUUAUAUAUAAAAGGAAGUUAGUUCUAUUCAAAAACUAUCUUUGCGCUUGGGGCAAUGACGCAGCUAGUGAGGUUCUAACCGAGGCGCGUCUAUUGCUGGUUGAAAACUAUUUCCAAACCCCCUCUUAGGCUUGGGUUCAACUCAAGCCUUUGAGAAUUUUUGAAAGGACUCCCUUAGGGGUAAAGUCCUGCAAA